GGGCAAGAGGUUCGACCCGAGCGAAGCGAGAGAACGUUGCGUCAGCAACGGCCCGCAGGGCGAGCCACGCAGUGGCGAGUCAUCCUCUAUCACCGGCAG
rnacentral:sRNA from 2 species